rnacentral:rRNA from 1 species
UAGGGGACCUGCGGAAGGAUCAUUG